CAGCACUGCAGAAUAUGGAAACAUGGCUGUCCUUUGACAUCAGCAGGUAUGAUGAUCCAUGCAUAUUGAACUCUCAUGUAAAAUCAUGCAGCAUUUGCUGAAACCUGUAUAUUUUAUUUGUUCCAGUGUUGGAGUGACUCCAAGGUUUCAUGUAUACUAUACAUAUACUCUACAAUCCAGCCACAUGCCUUGCCAUACAUGUUCUUUAAAACCUCACUAGAUUACUUAUAUCUAAUGCAAUGUCAGUCUUACAUAGUUUUGCUAAACCAGUUUUGUUGUUGUUGUUCAAUACAGGUUCAACUUUUAAAACGUUUUUUACCUAUGAUGGAAUCCACAGAUGAGUAACCUGCAGAUACGGAGGGCAGAAUUUAUGUUUAAACCAUAUAUUUGAUAGGAGGCUAAUAUCUGAUCUUAUGACAAUAAGAGUCUAUAGAAAAGGCCAAUAAUUACAUUUGCAAAUACAUGGGCAAAGCUAUGAUGAAUGUUAAAGCGAGGGGAGUAGAGGGGAGAUAGGUCUGGAAGGCAAGAAAUUCAAUAUAGUCAGAGCCUAACAUGUGUCCUGGAAGACAGGGAAAGGAGGAAAAUGCAGGGAAUGGGGGGAGAGGCUACAAGCUGGACAAUGUAGGGAUAUGGGGGGACCAACCACAAAAGUCUUGUAAUUCAUGUUGAGAAAACAGGCUUUAUACUAAGGACUCCAGAUAGGCCCCAAGCAAUUUAAAUAGAAGAGUAACUAACCUUACUAGAUUCGUCCUUGAUAUUGCUUCGCCUGGUGUAUGUGGAACAGACAGGGUGGAAGAAGCACAAUUGAGCUGAGAAAAAGGGAACUCAUGCAGCCGGGCAGGGAUUGUGCACCCAAGUUAUCUGGGGACAGUCAAAUCGUGUCCAGUGAUUAAUGAGAAAAGUGGCACCUCUGGAUAAAAUCUAGAUGGAAAUUAGCUUUUUGGAAGUCAUCAGCAAAGAAAAGGCUACUGGAGUUAUGAGUGGAGAAGACUUGCCUGGGAGUGGGUACCAUGGGAGUGUGAAUACUGUGAAGAACCAGGUGCUGAAGGAACAGCCCACAGAAGAUAAUCGAUGAUAUAGCAGAAGAGGUGGCGUUCAUAAGAGGCAGUGUCAUCUUCGAGGGUUGUGGUGACUCAUUAGCAUUCUACUAGCGCUGCUUCAAGAAUUGUUAGAUUCUGCCUACCAAAGAUGGCCGGUCCUCCAGUGUAAACAAGUACAGAAAGACUGAAAUGCUUUCUUUAUUGCUCCUCUAUUUCAUACAUAAAUACAUUGCCCUUUCAAACACAGAGGGUGAUGAGUUCCCCUUUCUUUGGAGGACCCUGCUUUUCUCUUCAGGUUCCUUUCUAGAACACAGAUUGUGCCAAAUUGUUAUGGUACGUUCUUAAUACAGCUUGUUAGAACAACUAAUGUGUGCACAUGUGUGCACACGCACACACACACACCACUCUUCCACAUUUAUUUGAAUUACAGCAAUGAAGAGAAACAGACAUCAUCAGCAAUGAUCAUUUAGGUACAUUCUACUUGCCUAAAAGUACAAAUUCAGGAAUGAGUUUUUCCGAUCCUUGUAAUUUUCCCCUAAAGUGGGGAAACUUACUGCACAAAGUUGUGAGAUUGAAUGAAUGCAUUGGCACACAGUAGGUAUUCAGUCUGUCUCUCUGUGUGAGUUCUUGGGUACUGAAGGCCUGGUGGAAAACGGCUAUUACAGAAAGUACAUGAGCAUGAACAUCAUGGCUGAUGCAAAUGUUUGGCUGCUGUCAUGUCAAGAUACUGGAUGUUAAUUUGGGUUUCCCUACAAGCUACUUGACUGGAACAAAAGCUUAUUACUAUUUUUUAAUAUUUACAUAUUAUUCAGCAUUUCUAGUUCUUGUUGUGAACUAGUGUCCAGAAAGCUUGCUCUAGAAAAGCCUUAAAAUCACAAGCUCAGCACAGGAGCCUCACGAGAUUCAGAAGUGUAUUUACCUCCAUCUUACAGAAGCUUCUUAUUGUUAAGUCUAAAGCAGUCCCCCGAAAGGGACCACAAAAAUGGCAGCCCACAGAUGGAUGGCUAGCCAGUUAAAAAAAAAAAAAGAAAUAAUGUAACUCAGCAUUCCUCAGAACCUUCUGAAGCAGGUUUUAUAUCAUAAAAAAAAGCCAUGAAUUCCUUAUCCAGAUGCCCAUGCAGCCAACUCCAGCAAGGGCCUCUGGUUUCCAAUGAACUCAAAGAAGACUGUAAUGGGUCAAAGCCCUGGUGCUAGUUCCUAGGUUAUUCUGGUUUGCACCCCACUUCUGAUACUCCCAGGUUGUUCUGGCUCACAGGCCUCCCCCACCACUACCUGUCCACUUAAAGCUGGCCAGGCUCUCCCUCCAUUUGCUGUUCUCUGGUGCUGAGAGAUAAUCUGGCAGUUUGGAUCUACAACAAGCCUUUCUUUCUACCCUCAGAGUGAUCCAGUUUGGUGGCUUCAUUGCACCUUGCAUAUAUACAUCAGUGUAAAUUUCUAUCUCAACCAAUAUUUUUAUUUCUCUGUAACUUCCUCUUCUUUCUCCAUGAAAACCCAUCUGUUCCAUCUAGCUUCUUCCUUGUGUCCAGACAUAUUUGUGUCACAAACAUAAGAGAAAUCAACACUUUCAGAGAUGUCCACACUCAGGAAAACAUGUCUUUUACCCUGUACCCACCUGCCAUCUUCCUAAUUUCCCAACCUCUGAGCUAUGUGUUUACAAAAGCUGUCUCUACUUUUACUUUCUAAGAGCAUUAAACAGUGCAGAUCAAUCUUUUACACUAGUUUAUUGAGGUUUUUCCAAAAAAGUUACAACUGCCUAAAAAAUUAUAAGCAUUUUUUCUAUAUAGAGAUUAAACAAUGAGCAUACUUUGCAUGAACAAAGGGAGGGAAUGACAUUAAAAAGGCAGGGGCGUAGAGAUUUGUGUUAUUUAAGAUUUACAAAACAAUGCAAAUUUAAUGUGUGUGGCCUUAUAAAAAGCACAGCCUGUUUGGCGCAUUGCAGGAGCAAGCCAAUUCAACCACUCACAGAUGGUGGCUUCCCAUGUGCAUCUUCUGUAAGCACUGCUUUCCUUCCUCCUCUCAGAUCUAAGACCAUUCCCUACCUCUCUUUACCAUGUGAGCCUAUUGCAAGGGCUUCUAUCCUAAGUACAGGGGUUGCAGCAACAGUUCGUUCUAGUACUUUGUUUCGUUCAUUUCUGGUUCGAAAAACUUUGGUGACCUCACUAGAGCAUCAGAACAUCACUAUUAGCUAUCUAGCUAAGACUCUGAAUUUAUCAAUUUAUAGACAAUUCAAAGACCAAAAGACAAUAUUUAAAGUCACAAAUCUAGUUCAUACUUAAAACACUCUUUAAAAUAUUUCAUACAUGCAAUGUGUUUUGAUCAUAUUCUCCUCCCAGCUUCCCCUAAUUCCUCCCAGUUACACGCUCCCCUCCCCUCCCCAGAAACCAUCAGCAGUCAACAGCACCUGAGCUAGGGGUGGAGUUUGGGAGCCUCUACCUGCUCCUGGCUGGACUGCUGACUGAAGGCUGCUGUGAGCUUCUGGGUGCAGGCAUGCUGUCAUUUCCAGCACGAGCUAUUGCUCAGGUCGUCUCCAACCUCCAGUUUAUAAUCUUUCAGCUCUCUCUCCCAAAAUAGUCCCUGAUCCUCGGGGAAGGAGUGUGAUGUGGCUGAGCACUCCAGACACGUGUACUCUCUAUUUAGACCAGUUGUGAGUUCCUGCAUUAAUCCUGUCCACUGAAACUUCUCUGGUAAGGUCUGAGAUCUGCACUGAUCUAUAGGUACAGAAAUAAGAAUUUAGAGGACAGUUGGCAUUGUUCAUUUAGCAAAAUACUAGUAGUAGGUUCAUUCUUUUGGUUUCAAUCUACGGGCUAACUCUUGGCCAAAUUUACAACACCUCCUGGUCUUAAAUCCAAUCAGAAAGCAGUUGGUUACCACCAUAUUUGUGGUUAUACUGCAGCCAUGGCUGUAUCUUACCAUACCUGCCAUUUGAUGUCACAGGGUCACAGCCGGGCAGGACCACUGACCCUUUCCCCUGGGCAGCCUACCUAGUACCUUCCAGUUAGAGGCCAUUCUGGUCUACAAAUUGAGUUCCAGGACAGCCAGAGCUGUUAUACAGAGAAACCCUGUCUUGAAAAACCAUAUAUAUAUGUAUAAUUAUAGGGUUAGAGAGAUGGCUCAGUGGUUAAGAGCACUGACUGUUCUUCCAAAGAUGCCAAGUUCAAUUCCCAGCAACCACAUGAUCUAUAAUGAGAUCUGGUGCCCUCUUCUGGCCUGCAAGCAUAUAUGCAGGCAGAACACUAUAUACAUAAUAAAUCUUAAAAAAGAAAAGAAAAAGUAGCCAGGAAACCUCCUUGAAUUUUCCAUAUCCUUUGAAGGUGUGAAAUCUUCACCAAUAGCAUCUCGCCAUCUAGUUCUGGUGAGCAGCCAAGAACAAUGGCAAUAGUUUGCAUUGUUUAGGGAGUAUCCAGGGCCCUUUGACUAACAGUGAUGAACAACUUGGGGGAUUUUCACCCUGGUAGCAGCUAGGAUCAGUAUCACCUGCCUAGCGUAACUCCAUUCAAAUUUCUUUAUAUGAAUGUGUGUGUGUGUGUGUGUCUGAGAAGCUUUAUGAAAAUACUGUGUGUGCAUAGUGAUGUGUGUAUGUGCUGUAGGAAUUUCUAUGCACGUAGCCUUUAAGUUACCCGCCCACUUGGGCGUGGCCUCAUACUAUUUAUGAUGAUGUAAAGUGCACAUCCAGCCUCUUUUCCUGUUGCUGGAUUUGGUUGUUGUUCCCUGUUCCAGCAGAGGAUUGUGGUCUGUGAGUCUACCCCUAAAUAAAUAACCCUCUAUUAUACUCAAUUCUGCUAGUGUGGGAUUUCUUUUAAGCAUCCUUCCUCAUGGAUGUGGGUACACAUGCUGUAGUGUGCCUGUGGAGGCCAGAGGACAACUCUGAGGAGUUGGUUUUUCCAGUCAACACAAGUUUUACAAAUAGAAUUCAGGAUGACCUUGAUCUGCUAAGUCAUCCCACCAGUCUGGAACAUAUAUCUUUGGUAUGUGAGUAUAAUUUAAUGCAUUUAACAAGAGAAUUAGAUAGAAAUACUUAUUGAUGAGAUUUUAUGAAAAAGGUAUUUUAUUUGCAUAAUAACUUUAUUUUUGAAACUAUAAUUACAUUUUUCCCCCUUUAGCUUUCUCCAAUUCUUACCAUGCAACCCCUUGCUCUGUCUCAAAAACCAUUGUUGGUGUCUUGCUUUGUUAUUACAUAAGUGUGUGUGUAUGUUCCCAUAUAAAUAAAUACAAUCUGUUUGGUUCAUAUAUUGUUACAUGUAGGAUGUCAGGGCUGAACAUCCGACAGACCUGUCUUAAGCAAUGAUGAAAUUGAUGGACAUGGUAACACAGAAGAGGGAAAACUCUCAGAUCUCAACUCUGUAUGGGCGCCUGUGGAGGCCAGAAGAGGGUUUGGGAGCUGAAGUUACAACAGCUGUAAGCUGCCCAACAAAAUUAUGUCAAAGGAGAAACCGAGCUGUGCUAUGACUAGCCGCAGACAGUCAUCUCAGUCUGUUUAUUACCAGCAGACAUCCAUUAGCAGUGCACAUCUUACGGGCACUCGCGUGAUACUCCUCUCUGGGUCUGAAGGGAGCCAGCUGACUGACUACUAGAGCACGUGCACACUUCAAGACUUGCUCUCAUGAACUCUGGAGUUUAAAAAAG